CUCCUACCUACACUGCUCUCAGCUCUUUCACAAAUUGGUAGUUAACAUAAAGAUGGAGUAGGCUAUUCGGUUGCAGCUUGUACUUGUAAGGCGAACUCUCCAUCCAACUCAGCACGCCGCCCGUAACAUCUGUUUUUUUAAAACAUAAUAAAUAGUUCCGACGCUCAAAGGUUUCCUUUCCUGUACCAGCGUCUGGGUUCCGGGCAGCGUUUGAAGGCCCUGUACUUGGUUCCGGUCCGAGUGGCGUUAGGUUAAAACGGUUGCUUUCUUGGAGGCCGCGUGCAAGGGGCUCGUGGCCGGGGAGCGCGGGCAGAAGAAAGGCCAGGCCUGGAAAGUGGAGCUGCCGCUGUGGAGAGGAGGUGCACCAACUGUCAGCAUCGCUUGGAGCAACGAGGCGACCAGGCGGGGAUUAAGUGCAAAAGAAAACGCGCGCAGCACUAAUGAAAACUGAUACAACCUCUGUGAAUGGAAUUGGAGCAGUUAGAAAUGUUUUAACUCGAGCAACAAAGUGAGGAAACUAAUCUAACAGUACGUAAGUGAAAAGCAGCUGAAGAAUGACAUCUGAAAAUAUUCUUGAAAAGGACUGGUAUGAAAUUCUUGGUGCGAGUCCAUCACACAGUAUGCAGGAGCUCAGACAAAGUUAUCAGAGACUGGCCCUAUU